UGGCAUAGUGGUUAAGUGCUAUGGCUGCUAACCAUGAGGUCGGCAGUUCAAAUCCGCC
rnacentral:tRNA from 1 species